CUAUAACCUCGGGAGUGUGAGGUACGACAGCUGUCGUCAGCAGCAGUGUUGCAACAGCAUCUGGAGGAACACUGGCGUGGCCUUGGAAUCUUGUGGUGACAGAUGCAGAACCCUGGGCACUGCUUCGGGCACCUGCGUGUUGGUGAACGAGUGCGUGAGGCUCGAACGAGUGUUCCUCGUGACAAACGCAGCUGGGGAUGUGGGACGCACUACCAAGUUCCUUCUGGACCAUCGGUGUGAUACCAGAGCUGGCGGUAUUCACGUAUGUUGCCCGACAGCAUAAGAGAAAAGGGAAUUAAAUAACAGGUUGAUUGAUAAAUAAAAGAUAGACCUUUAUUCAGGGUUUGUCCUAAGAAGAUAAACGGUUUGGUUGUGCUUUGUUUUACAUUAAUAUUAUUGCACUAAUAUCUUACUAAUUAAAUGUAGUAUGGAAACGAAUACUGUUUUUCGUGUAUCUUCUUUGAAACGAUGAUUUAGGACUUGUAUGUAGUUGAAUAAAGAAAAUUAUUGAUAGUAUUUCCUAUUACCAAUCUGUGAUGAUAAUUACCUUAUGAAUGAUAUCUAUUUGAUAGCAUAUUGAAAAGACAAAAUAAUUCAUGAAUUUUCAAGUUGUUAUUUUUCUUUACAUUAAUUUUCUCAUGAUCAUUUUUUAUGUCCGAAUAAUAUUUCUUUUUAUUUUAAUAAUCGUGAUGGCCUUACGUCAUGCAAGAACCUGUCAUUAUGAGUCAUGCAAAAUGAGUGAUUUGUUUUUAUGGUGGAAGUUAUGAAAUUAGAAUUGGCAAUAAAAUAAAAUGCGUU
rnacentral:lncRNA from 1 species